CGCCAGCAGCCGCGGUAAUACAGAGGUCCCAAGCGUUGUUCGGAUUUACUGGGCGUAAAGGGUGCGUAGGCGGUUGGGUAAGUCUGAUGUGAAAUCCCCGGGCCCAACCCGGGAACUGCAUUAGAAACUGCCUGGCUGGAGGGUUGGAGGGGGGACUGGAAUUCCCGGUGUAGCAGUGAAAUGCGUAGAUAUCGGGAGGAACGCCAGUGGCGAAGGCGAGUCCCUGGACAACACCUGACGCUGAGGCACGAAAGCUAGGGGAGCAAACAGGAUUAGAUACCCUGGUAGUCCUAGCCGUAAACGGUGCGUGUUUGCUGUGGGCGGAAUCGACCCCGUCCGUGGCGGAGCUAACGCGUUAAACACGCCGCCUGGGGAGUACGGUCGCAAGAUUAAAACUUAAAUGAAUUGACGG
rnacentral:rRNA from 1 species